rnacentral:ncRNA from 1 species
CGCAACGCUCCGGGGUGCACGCUUGUGCUGAGAUCCACACCCGAGAACUUGAACCGGGUCAUUCCGGCGGAAGAAGAGCUGUCACCACCAUC